AGUGAACGCUGGCGGUAGGCCUAACACAUGCAAGUCGAACGGCAGCACAGUAAGAGCUUGCUCUUACGGGUGGCGAGUGGCGGACGGGUGAGGAAUACAUCGGAAUCUACUUUUUCGUGGGGGAUAACGUAGGGAAACUUACGCUAAUACCGCAUACGACCUACGGGUGAAAGCAGGGGAUCUUCGGACCUUGCGCGAUUGAAUGAGCCGAUGUCGGAUUAGCUAGUUGGCGGGGUAAAGGCCCACCAAGGCGACGAUCCGUAGCUGGUCUGAGAGGAUGAUCAGCCACACUGGAACUGUGACGCGGUCCAGACUCCUACGGGAGGCAGCAGUGGGGAAUAUUGGACAAUGGGCGCAAGCCUGAUCCAACCAUACCGCGUGGGUGAAGAAGGCCUUCGGGUUGUAAAGCCCUUUUGUUGGGAAAGAAAAGCAGCAGGUUAAUACCCCGCUGUUCUGACGGUACCCAAAGAAUAAGCACCGGCUAACUUCGUG
rnacentral:rRNA from 1 species